rnacentral:rRNA from 1 species
AACGAACGUUAGCGGCGCGCUUAACACAUGCAAGUCGAGCGAGAAAGGGCUUCGGCCCCAGUACAGCGGCGCACGGGUGAGUAACACGCGGGUAAUCUACCCCUGAGUGGUGGAUAACCCUCCGAAAGGAGGGCUAAUACAGCAUAAGACCACGGCGUCCUCGGAUGUCGCGGCCAAAGCGGGCCUCUUCAUGAAAGCUCGUGCUCGGGGAUGAGCCCGCGGCCCAUCAGCUUGUUGGCGAGGUAAAAGCUCACCAAGGCAAAGACGGGUAGCUGGUCUGAGAGGAUGGCCAGCCACAUCGGGACUGAGACACGGCCCGGACUCCUACGGGAGGCAGCAGUCGGGAAUAUUGGACAAUGGGCGCAAGCCUGAUCCAGCAAUACCGCGUGUGUGAAGAAGGCCUGCGGGUUGUAAAGCACUUUCAGUUGGGAAGAUAAUGACGUUACCAACAGAAGAAGCACCGGCUAACUCCGUGCCAGCAGCCGCGGUAAAGUG